UUAAUUUGACUUUUUUUAUAUUUUUUAUUUUUUUCUUUAUGCUGUCAAUUUUUGCAAUGUUUUUUUGUUUUUCAAUUUAAGCCAAAAUUUAUGAAUAUGGUGUGAUUAUAUGGAAAAGUUUAAAAAUGUGUAUGAUAAGCAAAAAACGUUAAAUAUGAAAUUUUCGUGUUUCUGCCUGGGGUGAAGUCGUUAAAAAUUCAUUUCUUAGCCAAUUUUCAACCGAUUUUCUUGAAAAAUUUCAAGUACAUGCCUAAAAUCAAAUUGGAAAGGAUAAUAAUUGAAAAUUGACGACGCAAGAAUGAUUGCAAUGAGAGCACCGUGAAAUAUUAUCUUCCCUCAAAACGAAAAAAAAAAAAACGACUCGCCAUU